AAGAAGUGGCAGAAGUGCACCAAGGUGAACUGAUGGAGCUUGGGGCUGGUCACACUUGACUGGAGGCUUCCCUCAUUCUUCACUAAGCAGUGACUUGUAAAAAACCGCCUGUAGCCUGCCUGCUACUGCGAGACUGUGGGAAGUAAAGCUAUUGUAUCUAAAGGAUGAAAGUGUGUUGCUCACUUCAAUCAGAAGUUACCCCUAUGAUAUCAGGCACUAUAGGUGAUUUGAAAGCAGGAAAAGAUGCCAUCAAGACCUUGCUGAGGCUAGGAUAAAAGGCAUACUGUUAGCAUGUGAUAACUGACAUCUGCAAACUAACGUGUCUGAUAAGCAGAGAGAGGCUCACAGCUUUACAUAGGAGCUAAGCUGUUUGAGUUCAAACUGAGCUGUCCCCACACAGUCUAACAUGAGCAGCUUAACCCAGGCCAAAGUCCAUCUCGUCUUUCCUUACCACCCUCCUCUGACACCAGUUAAGUAAGGGUGUGAGCUAGCUCACAGAAUCCAGUCUUGCGCCUUUAAGCCUCCGAGCUGGAAGAAGAGAUGCUGUUACUCAUUUGGACAAAGUGCAUUUUUGCAAGAGAUGAGCUCCUUGUGAAGUCCUAGCAGAAGACAGAUAGCAUCACCUUAAGCCUAGUUCAAACAAGAUUCAAGUUCGUUCUUCCCUGCUUAUUCAGAUCUCCUUUUUUUGUUAAGCUGAACCAAAUUCUAACUACUGGGCCAUGUGGUCUUUGAGCAUUAGAUGCUAUAGAGUACCAUGUUUUACCUGUCACGGAAUUUCCCGAGCUGCAAUUGCUAAUAACAGAUGUCUGUUUUAUUGGAGCUCCUAAAUUGUGGAGACUUGUAUCCUGUUCUUAGAAACAGAUCCUGCUAAUGCUUUUUCAGAACCUUCUGAUUUGGCUUAACUGAAUCAAGAAACCUCCAAAGAUGAGGUCAGGACAUCCUGAGUUGUGUUGUUGGUGGGAACUCAGUCUCUCAUGCUGGCUGAAACGUGGGUGGUUAUUUGAUGGUAGAGGAAAUAAGCUCCUUGUUCAUAGCUUCAUCCAUCCCAGAUGCUGCCUUAAAAUUCGGGAUGAUGAAGGAAAGAUGCAGUGGUGUGACAUUAAUGGAUCUUGACUGCAGAAGAAAACUGACUUAAUGGCACUGCUGUUUGCAGUUAGCAUCUGCAUAAAAGAAAGAGCUGGUGUCUGACAGCUGUUAGAGGGUGGGAAAAUUAGACAUGUGUGGUGGUGUCUUUAUCAUUCAAGAGAUAACACGUGUAAUGUUUCCGUUGCUCUGAUUCACUGUUAUUUCAAUUCCAGGAAUCGCAUCCUUGCCUGAAAUCGGAUGGAUCUCUGCCUAGACAGCUUUACGGCUGCCCCAAAGAGGUAUUGGUGUCUACUGUUUAACAAAUGCCUCGGCUAACCCAUGUGAGGCCACCUGAUGGCAGCUUUUAGCAUACAAGGAAGAGUUUGCCUCUUUGUUACACUUCUAGAUCCCUGUAGUGCCUGUAAGACUGUGCUAAGCUGUGAAAAAUGUACUGUACUUUGUCACUAAGUUUAUUUCCUCCUGUAGUUAACCAGCCAUUCGUAGUUUAUUUUCUGUCACCUGUUCCAAAAUCAACCUAUUGAUACCACUGGGGUCAAGCUGAAAACCAAAGCUGCCUUAACAUUUACCUGUGGACAUCACCCAGGGUGAGAACAUACUUCCCAGAGGGCAGCCAGACCCCAUAUCUCUUGAUUAGGUGCAAGUCCAUCCCCACCACGGUCUGGGUUGGGAUAGGGCAUGGCCAAAGGGAGAUCUGCUUCCCACUUCCUCCCACAUCCAAUGAGGAAUUUCUGGGAGAUGUGGAGGCAGUGCCUGCAUGGAGGAGAGCCUGAGGAUUUGGACACUCAUGUCUGUAAAUGCAGGUAAGCAGGACUUUGUUUGUUCUGGGGAAAAAAAGUAAGGAGUGCUGACAACUGGGGAACUGAGACUUUCUCAGUGACUGCAUCAAUAAUAUGUAUUUCCUAUUUCCCUGACAGAACUGGCCUCUAGCAAAUUAGAGAUAAAAUGCCAGAAGAACAAUAAGUUACCUUUGGACAAGUACACGUCUUGGGUAACUAAAUAAAAUAAGGUUUUCAGUAAUGUACAACUCAGCCUUCCAUUUCAGCAACUUAUUGCUAGUAAUCCCUCUUGCAUCGGCAGCAGUAUUACUGCAUACAGCGAAGAGAACUCAUCUAUCACCAUAUUUUCUUGGGAGCUCCUGGCAUAUAAAGUGCCACAUUGAAAGAAUCUAGUGUAAGUGCACAAAGUUGUCCCUUUUUCCCCAGGAGGUGAAUCACUGGCUAUUUCAAUCUGUCUUUUGCAAGUCAUGGCAUGUGUGUCAUCCCUCCUUUAUUUCAUUUGGCUGAAGUCACAGGCUAAGUGACUUUUCACAAGGUAAAAGGAAUGCAAGGCCCAGCCCAAGGGCCAUUGAGAUCGGCUGCAGCUCUCCCAUUGGCUUCAGUGAGCUUUGCAACUGGAGCACGCUUCUAUUCACUAGACAGGCUAAUUGUUCCCCUGAUUCUGGCUAACUUAGUAGCAGCGUCCCAUGGUAUAUCUACAUUGGAAUCACUGUUGUGACUGCUGCAGCUUUUGGCAUACUUGAGUGAGUUUUAAAUUGGUGUAGCUGCCGAAGGCUGGAAGUUGAUGUGGGCUGGAAAACCUGUGCAAGAACCCGAGUGAUUUUUGGAAAAAUUUUUGUUCCAGGUUAAAUUAGCAAAAUUAGUUCUGAAUCUUCUCGACUGAACCAACUCAGUCGUUCAAAAAGCCAUCUGUGGUGCUAUGACUGGCUUCAAACUCCCAAAUCCACUGGCGGGCAUCCUAUGUGCAGGCCCAAGCCCAGAGGCUUGGGGUUUGGAUGCCUCCGAGUCUCAUUUGCUCUUAGCCAGUGGUCACAGGAGUGAGGAGUCCCCCACUUGCAUGAAGUAGGCGUGUAGCCGAGAUCCUCUCACUGGAAGCUGGCCACUGGGAAACUAAUUACAAGACUCAUAAUGUGUCCAGUCUGCAGUGCAUUGGACAGGGGUGCAUCCUUCACUACACAGUGCCGUAGGAGUAGGUUAGCCAAACACUUGGAUAAGAAGUAAAUGCUUGGGUUGGCCCAUGCUCAGCUCCAUGCUACUGCAGCUGCACUUAGGGUGGCCCCUGACACAUCCCCAGAAUACAGGACACCACUUGGUAAGGGGCAGGACCACUGGCUCCCUUGGCCAAUCAGUGGUUAGGGUCAGGACUGCUGCUACCUUGGCCAUUCAGUAGUGAGAUGUGGGGCCACCAGGCCCCUUGGACAAUCAGCAGUGAGGGGCAGGGCCACUAUACAGCAGCCACCUCCCUCCUUCCCUGGCUGGCUGGGACCUUUGCUGUGCACAGCCAGGAGGAGCACUACCUCUAGGCAUAGCCAAUAGAAUCGUGAGGGCAAAUGCUUGACAUGUAUUUCCACCAAUGAUCUGAAAAACGGGACUUUUUGCAGUCUUUUCCUCAUUCAGAAAUGGACAAGGGAAUGAAGGGGUUAAAAAAAAAAAAAAGGGUGGUCCAGUAUAAAACUCGACCAAUGACCACUAUUGCACUGCUAUUGCACUUGAGGUGGUGUUCAAAGACCAUGUAAAGCCAGUUCCCUCAGUUCCAUGGUGGGUGGGAUGUUUCAUAAUGAUCCCAAUUGACUUUCAUCCCACCCACUUCAAUCUUAUUCCUUUGGAUCUGGAGUUCAUAUUUUAUUUGUCUUCUGUUUGAACCAUUCCUCUAGCAUCUUGGGAGCUUUCUUGUUACUGUUUUGGUUCGGCAAGUCCCAGACUUCCUGUGCAUCAGGGCAAUGCCUUGCGACCCACAACUGGACAAAACAAGUUCACAUACUCCAGGGCUCCUGUACAUGAGCAUGGAGGCUGCUGCGAUUCACUGGAAUUCCAGCACAUCGGAGCAGACUCGGUAGUGGAGCAUAGUAGUGGAGUGAACCUAAGUCUCAGUCUGAGUUCCAGGCUGGUGCCUAAAUCAACAGAGCAUGAUUUCAUCUAUGGGUACAACCAAGCUGAAAGCUGCAGAACAUCCCACUCAGAAUCACGUGCAAAAGAAAAUAAAGGAGCAGCAAGAUUCCUUUGAAAAGCAUAAUGGGUUCUUCCGCUCUAAACAGGACGAAAAAGGCAACUUUCCAAAUAUCUUCUUUUCUUGGCUCUGCUGUAGGCAAUUACUAAAACCCUUUGAAGCACUAACAAUAGAAAUGUUCCAGUCUCCAACCAGAAGAAAUCCUAAAUGAUAUGUAUUAUGGAUCACCGUACUUAAUCACGAUCAUUUGCAAGACUAGCUGGAUGCAUGGCAGAUGUUAGUUUGAUACAACCAUGACUGGCUGGCGCGGAAAAAUGCGAUAGCAGCAGCAUUACUUUCUGCACUAUGUUCAGUCCUUUCACUCCUGAAUUUUGUUGUUGUUUUCCUCCCAAAUUUUUCUUUACAAUAUUUUGGAUAUUUUGCAUUUAGCAUCGAUACAAGCUCUACACAGGAGUUCAGCAUGGACCUGGCUUGCUUUAAGUCAUGGUUAACAUGGACAGCAAUGAUCAUAGGCAUUCUCCUCCAUGUCUGCUUCAUUGUGCAGAGUUUUUCAUUGUGCUGCAUUGAUGUUUUGCAUUGUGACUUUCCAGUCAUCUUAUUCUGUCCUUCUCCCAUUCCACUGAAAUGCUUAUGGAACCAUCAUAAAAAGCUUUAUUAGCCUGGAACAAAUGCCUGAAACGGAUUAUAUAAUCCACAAAGCCAGUGGGGUUGCCUGGAGUUUGAAGUAGGCUGAAAUUUGGUCCUGAGAAUGAUUUAAUGGUGAAAGACCUGAGAUUUAAGUUAUGUUCCCAGCUGCAACACCAGCAUUUGCUUUGGACUCUAAGGAAGUUUCUGAACCUUUCAAGGCCUCACCUGUAGAAAGGACGGAAAGAAUAUGUAGUUUGGUGGGGGGUCCAAUGCUUAAAUCAGUGUUUUUUCAGAGAACUUUGAUAUCUGUGGAUAAAUGGAACUGAAUACAAAAUAUUAUUAUUUUAUUUUGGCUGGACAAAGUGCAUCAGGACUGUUGAUUGCAAAGGAGCCCCUUCCCAUUCCCCAAUUGUAUACAGUCUGAAGGAGGCAGAGCUUGGCAGACACUGGUUCUUACAGUUUAUUUUCAAACUUUCUUCAUGUUUUUCUUCUUGCAGUUACAGACAUUCAGAAACAAAGGGGAUCAUGUUGUUAUAGAUCACUCCAACAGUUAUGAACCCACUGGAGUUUUUAGGACCCUCCGUUCUGAUGCUUUCACUGACUGUGAGCCUGCCAAUUAAGGAUUGAGAUAUAGGCCAUUUUUACUUAGUUUUAUGUUCCUCAUUUAAUGAUGUUGACACCAGUGGCCUCUAGUUUUAUGAAGAAAUAAAAUCACACAUUACAGCUCUUCAAACAGGACAGAAAAAACCUUCCGAAAACAUUAAAAACUAAAAAAAGUUCCCCAAGCAACUUGCUCAGUCCUAUUCCAAAGGCAGUGCAGGUUUUAUAACUUUUUGAGUAAUAACCCAAGUCUGUCUUUUCACAAGCACUGUUACUCGUAAGAAGGAGGAAUAAGGCAUUAUAGAUGAUUCAGGUGCUGCAUGCUCUAAAGGGAGAACGUUAUAUGAAAACAGGAAAACUUAAUCCAACAGCAUGAAAAAUGACCUCCUAUCCUAAACUUCGGUAAUUUCUUUAUUUGGCAGUGCAUCCCUUGAUUUUAAUCUGGAAUAAUUACCCAUGAGCAUGAAAAACCUCUCUUUUCAUAGAAGUAAAGUAGUAACAUCAAUAAA